rnacentral:rRNA from 1 species
UGGGGAAUAUUGCACAAUGGGCGCAAGCCUGAUGCAGCCAUGCCGCGUGUGUGAAGAAGGCCUUCGGGUUGUAAAGCACUUUCAGCGGGGAGGAAGGCGAUAAGGUUAAUAACCUUGUCGAUUGACGUUACCCGCAGAAGAAGCACCGGCUAACUCCGUGCCAGCAGCCGCGGUAAUACGGAGGGUGCAAGCGUUAAUCGGAAUUACUGGGCGUAAAGCGCACGCAGGCGGUCUGUCAAGUCGGAUGUGAAAUCCCCGGGCUCAACCUUGGAACUACAUUCGAAACUGGCAGGCUAGAGUCUUGUAGAGGGGGGUAGAAUUCCAGGUGUAGCGGUGAAAUGCGUAGAGAUCUGUAGGAAUACCGGUGGCGCAGGCGGCCCCCUGGACAAAGACUGACGCUCAGGUGCGAAAGCGUGGAGAGCAAACAGG